rnacentral:rRNA from 1 species
AUUGAACGCUGGCGGCAGGCUUAACACAUGCAAGUCGAGCGAGCGGCGGACGGGUGAGUAAUGUCGGGGAAACUGCCUGAUGGAGGGGGAUAACUACUGGAAACGGUAGCUAAUACCGCAUACCAUCAGAUGUGCCCAGAUGGGAUUAGCUAGUAGGUGGGGUAAUGGCUCACCUAGGCGACGAUCCCUAGCUGACCUGAGAGGAUGACCAGCCACACUGGAACUGAGACACGGUCCAGACUCCUACGUGAGGCAGCAGUGGGGAAUAUUCCGCAAUGGGCGCAAGCCUGAUGCAGCAAUGCCGCGUGUGUGAAGAAGGCCUUCGGGUUGUAAAGCACUUUCAGCGGGGAAGCGUUACUCGCAGAAGAAGCACCGGCUAACUCCGUGCCAGCAGCCGCGGUAAUUC